UGCGCAGGCGGUCUCGUAAGACAGGUGUGAAAUCCCCGGGCUCAACCUGGGAACUGCGCUUGUGACUGCGAGGCUGGAGUGUGGCAGAGGGAGGUGGAAUUCCACGUGUAGCAGUGAAAUGCGUAGAGAUGUGGAGGAACACCGAUGGCGAAGGCAGCCUCCUGGGCCAGCACUGACGCUCAUGCACGAAAGCGUGGGGAGCAAACAGGAUUAGAUACCCUGGUAGUCCACGCCCUAAACGAUGACGACUAGUUGUUGGGGUAGAAGUACCUUAGUAACGCAGCUAACGCGUGAAGUCGUCCGCCUGGGGAGUACGGUCGCAAGAUUAAA
rnacentral:rRNA from 1 species